rnacentral:rRNA from 1 species
CAGCCGCCGCGGGAAUACGAAGGGUGCAAGCGUUACUCGGAAUUACUGGGCGCAAAGCGUGCGUAGGUGGUGGUUUAAGUCCGUUGUGAAAGCCCUGGGCUCAACCUGGGAAUUGCAGUGGAUACUGGGUCACUAGAGUGUGGUAGAGGAUAGUGGAAUUUCCGGUGUAGCAGUGAAAUGCGUAGAGAUCGGAAGGAACAUCUGUGGCGAAGGCGACUAUCUGGGCCAACACUGACACUGAGGCACGAAAGCGUGGGGAGCAAACAGGAUUAGAUACCCCUGUAGUCCCUGUCUCUUAUAC